CCCACGUACCCCUUCACAUUUUUCUUCUUUUGGUAACAAACCGUAACAGAAUAAGAACCACACACAAAACAAAGGGAGUGGGACCCACUUAAAAACACACACACACCAGGGAAUUUCAUAUAUAUAGAGAAGGAAUACACUAUAUUCAGGGUUUUUUUACCAUCAGCUCACAAAAUACACUCUCCUCCAUCUCUAUUUUCUUAUACACAAUUCACACGCACACAGAUCACAUAAUCACCAUGAACACAACCCCACACACUCAUCUCUAAUUCACGAUACACUGGUCAUGAACACAUAUCGCUAUACGAUGCACACACACUAGAAAUUGGGGAAAACAGAAUGAGAAAUUAAGAGUGAGAACACGGGAGAGGGAGAGAAUAGGUGGAAGUUGACUAUUCCGGCGGGUUUCUCGCCGGAAUUUGACUGAAAAAACACGGUUUAGCCACUGUUCCGUCAAGACUCGCCAGAAAAUGACCACAUCAAUCGUAUUUCGGCCAAACCCACAUCGAACAGCUUCCAUCUCUCAUUUUUCAGUUUAAAUCUCGCUAGAAAACAUUAAUUCCGGCCACCAGAUCGUCUGAAUCGGUUGUUUUAGGUUGACUCCGGUUGAGUCUCGUCGGAAACUGUCACACAGGGGGUUUAUUUUUCCCUUUCAAGCUUCGAUUUCAAUUUUGGGUUUCAUUUGUUCUUCAUGAAGUCUUGUUCGGAUUGGAUUUUGAGAUUUUUCGGUUGGAAUUAGAUCGUUGUGAGGUCGGAUUUGAGGUUUUCUGGGUGCGGUGUUAUCUCUGAUAUAUUGAAAUUGAUAUUUGAGGGAAUGCCCCGAGAAAUUUAUAUUGAUUUAUUCGAGAAAUGUCCCGAAGUAUCAUAUACGCAGAGGAAGCUCGUGAUCAAGGCUCGAGGCAUCGGAUAAGGCAUUGGAGCGUAGUUUUAGGAUUAGCUUAGAAUAGGAUUUAUAUUUUCGCAUUUUUUUCUAUCUUUGGACUAUAUAAUUGGAUUGGACACUAUAUUGUGGAUUGGUUUUGUUUUGUGUGUUUGAUUGUUUUA